rnacentral:misc_RNA from 1 species
AAUGAAGAAUGAAAUCCAUUUGUUUUGCCAUGAUGUUUAUGUUGGGAAGUAAUCUUUUUGCUUAUGGCAACUGAGGUGACAGCUUCAAUGAGUGUAGUGCAAGUGUGUAACAAAUUGUUGAAGUUAUUUAGUGAUGAAGUGACGAGCUUAAUUGAGCUGCAUAUCCUUGUGUUCUUGGCUGAAGGACUCUAAUGUUAAGCAUGUUGAUAUUCGGAAGACUUCUCCUCCCCUCCC